CCUACGGGGGGCUGCAGUGGGGAAUAUUGGACAAUGGGGGGAACCCUGAUCCAGCCAUGCCGCGUGUGUGAAGAAGGCCCUCGGGUUGUAAAGCACUUUCAGUGAGGAAGAACGCCUGGUGGUUAAUACCCAUCAGGAAAGACAUCACUCACAGAAGAAGCACCGGCUAACUCCGUGCCAGCAGCCGCGGUAAUACGGAGGGUGCGAGCGUUAAUCGGAAUUACUGGGCGUAAAGCGCGCGUAGGUGGCUUGAUAAGCCGGUUGUGAAAGCCCCGGGCUCAACCUGGGAACGGCAUCCGGAACUGUCAAGCUAGAGUGCAGGAGAGGAAGGUAGAAUUCCCGGUGUAGCGGUGAAAUGCGUAGAGAUCGGGAGGAAUACCAGUGGUGAAGGCGGCCUUCUGGACUGACACUGACACUGAGGUGCGAAAGCGUGGGUAGCAAACAGGAUUAGAUACCCCUGUAGUC
rnacentral:rRNA from 1 species